rnacentral:lncRNA from 1 species
UUCCAGAUAGUUAAUGAGAAGUAGUAAGUAGAGUGCAAGUUACAGGGAACCUUGAAAGUAAAGACAAAUAAUUUUUUAUUUUUUUUUAAUGCAGUAGAGAAGCUGGGAGCCAGCAAGGGGAAAAACAAAAAGGCAAAUGGCAUGGAAAAUAAUCCUGGCAGGAAGCUUCAUAAUGAGCAAAUGGGGGAAGGUAAUUUGUAUCAAGCCCCCGAGCCCAGCAAUAGCUAAGACUGGAGGGUGAGAGCCUAAAACUCAUCCUUUUCCUCUCUCUGGUUUAGGGAUCUCAAAAGGAUAACUACCAGUUUUAAGAGCAGCUGGAGGAGCGAACACUUCAUUCUGAAGAUGACAGCCAGGUGGCAUGGAGUGCACUGAAGCAACCACCAGCAGUGCCUGGAAGAGCAGCACAGUGUUGGUGCGCGAAGGAGAGGUAUAGUCCUUCUUGACAUUGAGAUCCAGACAAGAUUUGCAGAUAUUGGACAAAACAGCAUUUGGUAUGCAAAGCAUUGAUGUAACCAGCUCCUGAGCUUGUUCUGUUUAACAAAUGGUCUGCUGGGAUUUUUUUGGAUCAGUUGACCUUGUUAGCACCUGAAUGCAAGAUAUUCAUAAAUUAGUAGUGAAGUUCCACCUGGAUUUACACCCAGAGUAUCCAUGACUUCCACAUAAUUCAUAUGAGAUGUCUUCCCAGGGCUGAGGUGUCACCACUGAGAAUUAAGCUUGCAAAGGACAAACCAAUUCUGAAAUGUACCUGUCCCUUUCUACUUCAGAAGGAAAGGAAUUGGAAUGGAGGAAGUGAUUUCCUUACACAUACUUCUAUAAAUCCUCAUGGGACACAGUAUGGGAGCCCUUCCAGGAUGUGACCUUUAGAUAUUGACGGAGGAGGUGGAUAUGCAUAUAUUCUCAUAUUGAUUCCACAGACCUAACCAGUGUUGUUCAGCUACAUUAAUGCUUUUUGAUUUGGAAGCACAAAUGGUGAGUUGCCUUCACUGCACUGCCUUGAUUGCACAUUGCAUUCACAAGGGAAAAAUGUCUUUAUGAAAAUUGGUCUCAUUAUUUUUAUGCUUCAUAGUUUCCAAUAAAACAAUUUUCACCAGAAAUGUGACUGUUGUA